UUCUCGACAGUCCAGUGGUUAGGACUCAGCACUUUCACUGCUGUGGCCUGGGUUCAAUUUCUAGUUGGGAAA
rnacentral:tRNA from 1 species